rnacentral:rRNA from 1 species
GACGAACGCUGGCGGCGUGCCUAAUACAUGCAAGUCGAGCGAAUGGAUUAAGAGCUUGCUCUUAUGAAGUUAGCGGCGGACGGGUGAGUAACACGUGGGUAACCUGCCCAUAAGACUGGGAUAACUCCGGGAAACCGGGGCUAAUACCGGAUAAUAUUUUGAACUGCAUGGUUCAAAAUUGAAAGGCGGCUUCGGCUGUCACUUAUGGAUGGACCCGCGUCGCAUUAGCUAGUUGGUGAGGUAACGGCUCACCAAGGCAACGAUGCGUAGCCGACCUGAGAGGGUGAUCGGCCACACUGGGACUGAGACACGGCCCAGACGCCUACGGGAGGCAGCAGUAGGGAAUCUUCCGCAAUGGACGAAAGUCUGACGGAGCAACGCCGCGUGAGUGAUGAAGGCUUUCGGGUCGUAAAACUCUGUUGUUAGGGAAGAACAAGUGCUAGUUGAAUAAGCUGGCACCUUGACGGUACCUAACCAGAAAGCCACGGCUAACUACGUGCCAGCAGCCGCCGUAA